CCCUCCCCAACCAGCGAGACAGCUAGGGCCGGGUCUCUCCCUCGCAUCUCUCUCACGUUGAAGCCGCCACCCCAUCCCCUUCUCUCGCGUCGAAGCCGCCGCCCCCUCCCCUUCCCCUCGCGCCGCCGCCCCCUCCCCCUCCCCCUUCCCCUCGCCGCCGCCCUCGGAGAAGCACCGCGGCCGCUGCUGCUCCGCGUCGCCGCUGCUGCUUCGCGUCGCCGCUCCUCACCCACCCACCGCGGUCGCCGUCAAGGACAUGUCGCUCGCGCCGCCAACCCUAUCGAUCUCGCGCGUCACGCCUCGGGAGGAGAGGAAGCCCACGCUACAAUACCCGGCGGAGCACUCCCUCGCGCCGUCGACGGGAGGAGGCCAGGCGGAGUGCGCCGUCGUCGCCGCAGCCUGGAGUGCGCCGUCGUCGCCGCAACUCAUUCGCGCCUCCCCCACGUCUCCGACGAGCUCCAGCGAUGUCCCGGUGGCGGCCGAGGGGCGGGACGCAGCGGAUGGACGCGGCACUCGACCACUUCAACUUGAUGGCCUACCGCAAGGCCGACGUCCGCAACCUCUGUCAACAAGCUGCUCAAGGAUGUGUACGGGAGGGAUGGGUGGCCGUUCCUGGAGGACAGCUGGUACUCCGUCGUGCAGGAGGCGCUCUUUGAGAUGCAGGAGGAGCUCGCUGGCCUCGAUUCGUCCGGCGCAAUCCGGUGCGUCAAGAGGGCGUGCCGUCGGAUGCGCCGUUAGCUUCAGGCCAUGUAUCGACAUUGACAAGGGCAAAGUUAAACAGAUUGUUGGAUCUACUCUCCGGGAUGCAUCGAAUGAUGGCAUGACACGGGUGACAAAAGUCUCCAUCAGAAUUUGCAAAUAUUUACAAAGAAGAUGGACUGGUUGGUGGGCAUGUCAUAAUGCUUGGCGGAGACCCUGCAAGCUGCUAUGCUGCCCUGGAAGCACUCCUCUUCCUGCCUCACCACCUGUUCAGGAACCGUAUCAUAAGUGGUGCCUUCUUCCGCGAACAGUUGCGGUGCUCGCUGUCGGCGUCAGACUCCCAAGCAAGCGAGGAUGACCACGGCGCGGAGGAGGACGAGGACCCGAGCUCGAUUCCGACCACGACGUACCGCACAAGGUCCCUGCUUCCUUCCUGACGGCAAUGGAUCCCUUCCUUGCAGGUAACACUUCCCCUCUCCCUCCCACUGACUUGCUAAUCUAAUUUAGCCACAGGCUGCUACAAAUCACAUUGCUUGCUGCAUCUUACUUUGUUGCCUUGGAUUUUGUUGCCUGGGUUGCUGACGAGAUCCAUCUGCCCGGCUGGAGCCUGUUAUUCUCUUGAUGGAAGUCAGCCCAAUUGUAGAAGCUGAAGGUGUUACCAUUCAUGGACAUGGAACAGAAGCUGCCCAGAUAUUGUGACAACAAAUGGAGGUUAAAUCGGGAAGCGGAAGCCAGAUUGAAGGUUAUUACCCGGCAAGCAAAUCCACCUUUGCAGUUUGAAUAAGCUUGCGACUGGAGUGUAAAAUAAAUUACCUACACAAAAGAAGGGUUAAAUAAGGAUGAAGUUCAGACGGUGCCGUGUCGUUGGGGUUGCCUUGCCGGUCGACCGGAGAUGGAGCUUUAUCGUUUGAUCCUCUGCCCUCCCCGUCGAGGUUGCUCCUCACCAUCGCAGGCACGGUCUGGUCGGGGCCACGACGACGAGAGGAGCAGCAGAGGAUAACUUUUCCCCACGGAUCCUUCUCGUCUUCCACGUGAUUCGAGUCGCCUCUCUCCGUCAGAUCCUGCACGGACCUCCCUGUCAGGCCCCUCUUGCCGCCCGUCGACAUGACCUUCGAUCUUGUUGUGUUGAUCAUGGGGACCAUUCCAUUUGAAGAGGCUCAUGCUGCCCGGAUUUUGUUAAGCAAGCCAUCUAUGUCCCAAAGUUGAGGACCGUUUGGAGAAGAGGCCACCCAGACAAUUUAAACAGAUGCAGGAUAUGAUUAGGCGCACAUAUACAAGUAUCUUUAUGACGACACCUGCACCAGUUUUCAUCGUUGUUGUUCUUGCCUGUUGCCUCCCCCCCUAUCGCUUCGCUAGCGGCGCAAGUAGAGAGAGGAUGUUUGCCUACUACUACUCCCAUCAUCCUGGCUUACAGGUCGCCUUCGUCACAGAGCCGGACGGGGUAUCCCGCCAUGCCUCACGUAGCUUGCAGGCCAGGCUGCUGCCAAAUUAGCCUUCCCUAGCUAUAAGGGUUUCGGUACUUUCAGCUCCUGCGGGUCAUCAUAUUGUUAAUGUGUCAAAGUAAAGAGAAAAAUGAUGCAUUGAAUUACUAAUAAAGUGGUUUGGAUGAGAUCAGAAACCUCUCACUUUUAAUGUUGGAGAUCGUUAUGAACCGAGUGUUUUAGAGAAAUUCAGUUCACAUGAAGCAAGAGAAAGGCAUGUAGCAUACAUUGAGUGAUUAUUAACCCAUUGUGAUACUGAGAAAUUGAUAAAGGAUAUAUUUAUUAACUUGAAUGUUUGACGUGGACUGGGAGAAUCUCAGUUGUGAUAUGUACAUAAAUCUUCUAUUUUUUUCAUGGUACUGAAUGUCCUGAUGUAUACACAUCUAUUCUGUUUAUCUCCUAGAAAUAACGAAAUGGCCUAUUUAUGUUUUAGUUAUAUUAUGUUGUUGAUGAUGAGUGGUUCUGGAACAUGGAGAUCAACAUUAAAGUUUUUGCUAUCUUGAAUGUUUACGUUUUUUUAUGAACCUAUUAGAGCCAGCUUUUCCUAUUUCGCACUCCUGCUGGCUUGCUUUUGGUGUUGUAUAAAAACUGUUUUUGCUGAAUUUGACGAGGAUCAAUUGUCUUGCCUUGCCUUUGAACUAAAUGUUUCUUCUUUGUCAUGAGCAUGCGAAUCAAUUAUACUAUAGGUACUAAACCCAUUAGUUCGGAGGAGUACUGUAAUUUUCUUUGGAUGUAACAAACGCUUUGUGGUAUAUUAAUAUAUUACAUGCUGGACCACGACGUUGUUAUGGGCGGUCGAGG
rnacentral:rRNA from 1 species